rnacentral:rRNA from 1 species
GACGAACGCUGGCGGCGUGCCUAAUACAUGCAAGUAGAACGCUGAAGCUUGGUGCUUGCACCGAGCGGAUGAGUUGCGAACGGGUGAGUAACGCGUAGGUAACCUGCCUGGUAGCGGGGGAUAACUAUUGGAAACGAUAGCUAACACCGCAUAAAAUGGAUUAUCGCAUGAUAAUCGAUUGAAAGGUGCAAAUGCAUCACUACCAGAUGGACCUGCGUUGUAUUAGCUAGUUGGUGGGGUAACGGCUCACCAAGGCGACGAUACAUAGCCGACCUGAGAGGGUGAUCGGCCACACUGGGACUGAGACACGGCCCAGACUCCUACGGGAGGCAGCAGUAGGGAAUCUUCGGCAAUGGACGGAAGUCUGACCGAGCAACGCCGCGUGAGUGAAGAAGGUUUUCGGAUCGUAAAGCUCUGUUGUAAGAGAAGAACGAGUGUGAGAGUGGAAAGUUCACACUGUGACGGUAUCUACCA